rnacentral:rRNA from 1 species
UACGUAGGGGGCAAGCGUUGUCCGGAUUUAUUGGGCGUAAAGAGCGUGUAGGCGGCCAGGUAGGUCCGCUGUGAAAACUCGAGGCUCAACCUCGAGACGCCGAUGGAAACCAUCUGGCUAGAGUCCGGAAGAGGAGAGUGGAAUUCCUGGUGUAGCGGUGAAAUGCGCAGAUAUCAGGAGGAACACCGGUGGCGAAGGCGGUUCUCUGGGCCUUACCUGACGCUGAGGAGCGAAAGCGUGGGGAGCAAACAGG